GUUGGGAAAGGAACUUGGGUCCUCUGCAAACCCAGUACACACACUUAACCUCUGAGUCAUCUUUUUAGCCCCACAAUUUUAGAUCGUAUCUUAUUCUUAGAAUCAUCAUCAUUUAUGUUGUCAGUAAAAAACGGCAACCCUUGAAUCUUUGCAGCACUCUUCUGUUCCUUCUCCCGGUGCCUUUAUGUUUUCUUUGUCUCCUUUGCUUGCUUUUCAGGUGAAGCCAACCUUGUUUUGGUUCGCUCUGCAGUCUGCAGCCACUUGGAAAUCAUCAGCUGGGAGAAGGGAAUUCUGGGAGCUCUGGCGCUAGGACAGCUUCUCCGGAAAGGAUUAAGUGCGAUCUUGCUCUGAGGCAGUGAGGAUUCUCAGACUAUGAGUACUUUGGGCUGAGGACUGCUACUAUAGAGUCUGGAAGUUUAAAGAAUACCAAAUCACAAAACACCCGAAACGGUUACACCUUACACCUAGGCACAUCUUCAGUCAGCUGAAGAGAACUGGAGACUAGCGAAAGUCCUGAGGAACAGAACACAUGUGGAAACUGCGUCACAGAGUAUAGCUUGAGAAGAGAACAGAGACAGACAGUUACCAUACAGGGGCAAACUGACUCUGUUAGCCUUGAGCGUGUGCCUGAAAAUUUAUCAUCCCUUUAAAGUCAAGGAGAAUAAGGACUUUCUACAGCAAAUGAAAGUACUGUGCAUGGAACUUCCCUGAGGGGAUGUUCAGAGAGGCCUAGGAGCAAAGGUGCUGGUCAGAACUGUGGGUGGUGUGGAGAGGUCAGAGAUCAUGAAAGUCAGCUCACAUCCUGGACUUUUAAAUCUGAAAAGAACCUGAGACAACUUUAUUUAAAGCGAUGACAGCAAAUGCAUUAGGUACUAAUGCCAUGAAGAAAGUGCUUCAUAGUGGGCAUGAGGGGGUCACUGAAAAUGACUUUCUCUCCCUCACUUUCUCUUAAAUUAAUGACCCCUUUUCCUUUAAAUAUAUACAUAUUGAUAUAUAUUUAUAUGAUAUAUGAUAGACAAUAUAUGAUAUAUGAUAUGUGUAUAAGAUAUAAUUUAUAAUCUAUAGUAUAAUACAUUAUAUAGUAUUAUAUGUAAUAUAUAAUUAUAUACAAUAUAUAUUAUAUAAUAUAGAGUAGAUAUAACAUGCAAUAUAGAAAUAUGUAGCAUUUAAUAUAUAAUAUAUUAAUGAAUAUAUAUUUAUUUUAAUUAUAGUUUAUUGUAAUCAAAGUGUAUAAUUAUAUAUUUAUAUGAUAUAAAUUAUUAAAUAUAUAAUUAAAUAUAAAUUAUAUAACUACCAUAAUUAUAUGUAUUAUAAAUUGUAAUUAUAUAAUUAAAUAUGAAUUGUAAAUAGCAAUUAAAUAUAAAUAAUUAAAAAUAUAUUAUGUUGUAUAAAUAUAUUAUAUGUAUUAUAUAAUAAACAUAAAUAAAUAUAGAAUCCUAUAAAUAAAAAUAUGUGUA